GCUGCAGUCCCAGCUGCAGCGCGCUGUCUGGCUGCCUGGGUGGUCCAUGGGCGCAGCGAGGGCCAUGAUGACAAAUUACAGUGAGGAGCCGCGCAACGAGCUGGAGGCUCUGGAGUCCAUCUACCCCAACUCCUUCACAGUAUUAUCAGAAAAAUCCACCCAGUUUCACCAUUACUGUGACAUCUGAGGCUGGAGAAAAUGAUGAAACUGUCCAGACUACCCUCAAGUUUACAUACAGUGAAAAAUACCCAGAUGAAACUCCUCUUUAUGAAAUAUUCUCCCAGGAAAAUCUAGAAGAUAAUGAUGUCUCCGACAUUUUUAAAACUAUUAGCAUUACAGGCAGAAGAAAACCUUGGUAUGGUGAUGAUCUUUACUUUCGUGACAGCUGUGCAAGAAAAACUAAACAAAAUAGUAGAUCAAAUAAAAACUAGAAGAGAAGAAGAAAAGAAAGAAAAAGAGGCAGAGGAAGCUGAAAAGCAUUCAUGGCACUCCUGUUACAACUGAAAAUUUCUUAAGUUGGAAGGCCAAGUUUGAUGCAGAACUCUUGGAAAUUAAAAAGAAACGAAUGAAAGAAGAAGUACAAGCUGGAAAAAAUAAAUUAAGUGGGAAACAGCUCUUUGAAACAAAUCAUAAUUCUUGACACAUCUGAUAUCCAGUUUUUGGAAGAUGCUGGAAACAAUGUAGAGGUAGAUGAAUCUCUGUUCCAAGAAAUGGAUGACUUGGAUGAGGAGGAGGAUCCAGACAAUAAUCCUGCUGACCCAGCGAGUGGACUAUCCCCAUCUGCAGAGAGGUGUGACUGCCACAGCGUGUGUGGCUGUGCUGACGUGUUGAUUUUUCUUUCUUUUUUUCUAAGAAAAAAUAAUUUCCAGGGGACUAUUCUUCUGAUGGCUUUCAUCACUGAACUUAAUAAACUAACCCUAAAGGCAUACUCUCACUUCUUUCUCAGUCUCGGUGUUUCCCCUCCACCCUUUCACCCCCUCCUCACUCCUGCAUUCUCGGCUCCUUUCUCCUCCCCUCGGCCCGGGACAGCCCUGGGGCCCCGCACCUGCCUGGGGAGAGCCCCAGCCGGGCCCCGCCAAAGGACUGGCAGUGACGUAGCAGGGAGGACGGGGUCCGCGCGGUCCGCUGACGUCACUGCCGCGGCGGUCUCCAGCGAAGUCCAAGAAUGGGAAAUCAAGGAGGGAAGCACAGCGGUGACCCCGCGGUUAAGGCUGAACGCUGCGAAUGCGCUGCGUGCUCUGGGUUUCUGGGGUCAGAAGGCCCAAAUAUCGCUUGUGGCGCAGGCUGAGCCCACUUCACAGCCUGAGCGCGCUCGAAACCAAGAGUUUAGCGUUAAGGGGAAUGUCCCCAAACGGUGGGGCCUCGUGCGCACGCGCCUUGGAAGUGGAGGAAGGCGGUUGCGCGCCCCUCGCCCGCCCCCGCCGUUAGUCCGUCUCCCUAGGCGCUGCGGAGGCGCGGGGCCUGCGGCGCGGCGUCGUGACGUCACGGUGGCGGCGGCCGUGGUUGGCGCACGGUCCGCGGCUGCAAAGUGUGAAUUACGCCGGGCUCGCGCCGGCGGCGGAGUGAAGUCAGGCUCCGGGGGAGGGGAGGGGCAGGACGGUGGCGGCGGCCCGAGCUGGUGGCUGGUCCCAAGCCCCGCGCGCUCUGGGUCUCGCCUCUGGCUCCGGCAGUCUUUUCUUGCACCGCUUUCUUCUGUCCUUGCUCCGCUCCUGCUCUGCCCUCCCCGGACCCGCUCCUCCCGGCCGAGGAGCUCAGGGGCGGCAGGGUUCCCCCUCCGACUUUGCCUGUGCUGCUCCCGCUUGCACCCCGGAGCUGGGCGCGCGCCGGUCCUCGUAACUGUCGCCGCGGCCGCCGAAGCGUCUUCCCGCCGGCGGCCCGGGCGGAGUGUUGGGGUGGGGAAGGCGUGA